AAUCGGGCAGGGCCACAUACCUGAAGUGGGUAGUGUCUUGUCUGUUUUCUUGCUUAGUUAACCUUAAGGCCCUUAGAUUCCAGGCUGUGCUUCCAUACUCGGAAUUUCUUUUCUAGCGCUGAUACAGAAUCUGCUAUGAGGGCAAGAUAAUUAGGAUAUAAUA